rnacentral:rRNA from 1 species
UACGGGGGGGGUAAGCGUUGUUCGGAAUUACUGGGCGUAAAGCGCGCGUAGGCGGCCCCAUAAGUCCGCUGUGAAAGUCAAAGGCUCAACCUUUGAAAGCCGGUGGAUACUGUGGGGCUAGAGUACGGAAGAGGCGAGUGGAAUUCCUGGUGUAGCGGUGGAAUGCGCAGAUAUCAGGAGGAACACCAAUAGCGAAGGCAGCUCGCUGGGACGUUACUGACGCUGAGGCGCGAAAGCGUGGGGAGCGAACAGG